rnacentral:tRNA from 1 species
GGGGUUGUGGCUCAAUGGUAGAGCUCUUGCCUGGCAUGCAUGAGGCACUGGGUUUGAUCCUCAGCACCAUCA